UGGGGAAUAUUACACAAUGGGGGAAACCCUGAUGCAGCGACGCCGCGUGAAGGAAGAAGUAUUUCGGUAUGUAAAGCUCUAUCAGCAGGGAAGAAAAUGACGGUACCUGACUAAGAAGCCCCGGCUAACUACGUGCCAGCAGCCGCGGUAAUACGUAGGGGGCAAGCGUUAUCCGGAUUUACUGGGUGUAAAGGGAGCGUAGACGGAUGUGCAAGUCUGAAGUGAAAGCCCGGGGCUCAACCCCGGGACUGCUUUGGAAACUGUGUAUCUAGAGUGCCGGAGAGGUAAGCGGAAUUCCCAGUGUAGCGGUGAAAUGCGUAGAUAUUGGGAGGAACACCAGUGGCGAAGGCGGCUUACUGGACGGUAACUGACGUUGAGGCUCGAAAAGCGUGGGGGAGCAAAACAGGAUUAGAUACCCC
rnacentral:rRNA from 1 species